rnacentral:rRNA from 1 species
UGCAGUCGAGCGGUAGCACAGAGAGCUUGCUCUCGGGUGACGAGCGGCGGACGGGUGAGUAAUGUCUGGGAAACUGCCUGAUGGAGGGGGAUAACUACUGGAAACGGUAGCUAAUACCGCAUAACGUCGCAAGACCAAAGUGGGGGACCUUCGGGCCUCAUGCCAUCAGAUGUGCCCAGAUGGGAUUAGCUAGUAGGUGGGGUAACGGCUCACCUAGGCGACGAUCCCUAGCUGGUCUGAGAGGAUGACCAGCCACACUGGAACUGAGACACGGUCCAGACUCCUACGGGAGGCAGCAGUGGGGAAUAUUGCACAAUGGGCGCAAGCCUGAUGCAGCCAUGCCGCGUGUGUGAAGAAGGCCUUCGGGUUGUAAAGCACUUUCAGCGGGGAGGAAGGCGUUAAGGUUAAUAACCUUGGCGAUUGACGUUACCCGCAGAAGAAGCACCGGCUAACUCCGUGCCAGCAGCCGCGGUAAUACGGAGGGUGCAAGCGUUAAUCGGAAUUACUGGGCGUAAAGCGCACGCAGGCGGUCUGUCAAGUCGGAUGUGAAAUCCCCGGGCUCAACCUGGGAACUGCAUUCGAAACUGGCAGGCUAGAGUCUUGUAGAGGGGGGUAGAAUUCCAGGUGUAGCGGUGAAAUGCGUAGAGAUCUGGAGGAAUACCGGUGGCGAAGGCGGCCCCCUGGACAAAGACUGACGCUCAGGUGCGAAAGCGUGGGGAGCAAACAGGAUUAGAUACCCUGGUAGUCCACGCCGUAAACGAUGUCGAUUUGGAGGUUGUGCCCUUGAGGCGUGGCUUCCGGAGCUAACGCGUUAAAUCGACCGCCUGGGGAGUACGGCCGCAAGGUUAAAACUCAAAUGAAUUGACGGGGGCCCGCACAAGCGGUGGAGCAUGUGGUUUAAUUCGAUGCAACGCGAAGAACCUUACCUGGUCUUGACAUCCACAGAACUUUCCAGAGAUGGAUUGGUGCCUUCGGGAACUGUGAGACAGGUGCUGCAUGGCUGUCGUCAGCUCGUGUUGUGAAAUGUUGGGUUAAGUCCCGCAACGAGCGCAACCCUUAUCCUUUGUUGCCAGCGGUUCGGCCGGGAACUCAAAGGAGACUGCCAGUGAUAAACUGGAGGAAGGUGGGGAUGACGUCAAGUCAUCAUGGCCCUUACGACCAGGGCUACACACGUGCUACAAUGGCAUAUACAAAGAGAAGCGACCUCGCGAGAGCAAGCGGACCUCAUAAAGUAUGUCGUAGUCCGGAUUGGAGUCUGCAACUCGACUCCAUGAAGUCGGAAUCGCUAGUAAUCGUAGAUCAGAAUGCUACGGUGAAUACGUUCCCGGGCCUUGUACACACCGCCCGUCACACCAUGGGAGUGGGUUGCAAAAGAAGUAGGUAGCUUAACCUUCGGGAGGGCGCUA